AUUGAACUCUGGCGGCAGGCCUAACACAUGCAAGUCUAACGAGUGGCGGACGGGUGAGUAAUGUCUGGGAAACUGCCCGAUGGAGGGGGAUAACUACUGGAAACGGUAGCUAAUACCGCAUACCAUCGGAUGUGCCCAGAUGGGAUUAGCUAGUAGGUGGGGUAAUGGCUCACCUAGGCGCCGAUCCCUAGCUGGUCUGAGAGGAAGACCAGCCACACUGGAACUGAGACUCGGUCCAGACUCCUACGGGCGGCAGCAGUGGGGAAUAUUGCACAAUGGGCGCAAGCCUGAUGCAGCCAUGCCGCGUGUAUGAAGAAGGCCUUCGGGUUGUAAAGUACUUUCAGCGAGGAGGCGUUACUCGCAGAAGAAGCACCGGCUAACUCCGUGCCAGCAGCCGCGGUAAUAC
rnacentral:rRNA from 1 species